AAGUCGAGCGGUAGAGAGGUGCUUGCACCUCUUGAGAGCGGCGGACGGGUGAGUAAUGCCUAGGAAUCUGCCUGGUAGUGGGGGAUAACGCUCGGAAACGGACGCUAAUACCGCAUACGUCCUACGGGAGAAAGCAGGGGACCUUCGGGCCUUGCGCUAUCAGAUGAGCCUAGGUCGGAUUAGCUAGUUGGUGGGGUAAUGGCUCACCAAGGCGACGAUCCGUAACUGGUCUGAGAGGAUGAUCAGUCACACUGGAACUGAGACACGGUCCAGACUCCUACGGGAGGCAGCAGUGGGGAAUAUUGGACAAUGGGCGAAAGCCUGAUCCAGCCAUGCCGCGUGUGUGAAGAAGGUCUUCGGAUUGUAAAGCACUUUAAGUUGGGAGGAAGGGCAUUAACCUAAUACGUUAGUGUUUUGACGUUACCGACAGAAUAAGCACCGGCUAACUCUGUGCCAGCCGCCGCGGU
rnacentral:rRNA from 1 species